ensembl:lncRNA
GGGGCCCGUCCGAGAAAACCUGCUACCAGACGGUGGUCACUGGAGCCGGGGCUGGCUUUGGACUGAGCUGCAUCUUCUGGUUCAGGACCCGCCGGAGAAGACUGAAAACCACUGCAAUAGAAUCGGUUACAAAAGCCGACGGGCCCUUUCGGUUAAUAGGCAACAACAAACUAAAACGUAAUCUGUAAAAUAGGCUCAGCUAAUAUAGCAGCAGUGAUAUUUAAAAUAAUAUUGCUGUAGUGCAGAAUGAAAUACUUUUAACAACUGAAGUUGUGGAACAGCAUUUCCUGUAACAGGAUUGGCUUAGAAAUGUGAAGUUGCUCAGUCAACACAAAUAAACAAAUGUCUCGUUUCCCACUUUUCGUAAUAAGUACAGCUGUAGCUCCUUAUGUCCAGCCAACCCUGCGAUGUGGGGACUCGCGGGGGGCCGCCCGAGGUGGCCAGGCCAGCCGCCCCUCGAUGCCUUCCUGCCUAGAAAAAAAACACAGGUUUACAGAUGCGGUCAGCGCUGCUGCACUUCCACUGGCGUGGUGGCAUCUUUUCUGGGGGAGUUGUUCCUACGGGGAGCAGGUGGCACAAGUGCUUGACUUGGGCUGCUGCAGCCACCACUGCCAAGGAUCCAUGCUGGGGCUGCAGGUCCCUGGUGAUCUGCACGCCCCUUCCUGGAAAAGCACCCUGAGUGGGGUGCCCAGCCGCGGCUGUAAACGCCUCCUUCCUCCCCGCCCCCCCCAGCUCCAGAAGCGAAGCAGCGCUGGUAUCUGUGCACUGCGCAUAUCCCACAGCAAGUAUUAAACACAUCAGCCUCUAACCGUAAGAAGGUUCUAAAGGUAGAAAAAAUGCCUGCUUCUCCAAGCCUGUGCUUGCUUAUUACCAUGGCUAAAUGAAAACUGGAAAGUGACUUCAAAGCCAAUGUAAAUUGGAUAUAACCAUACUAAUAUUAAAAGUUCUCUUUAGGCAGUAUUAAAAGUUUUAAAUAUCAGUAUGGAAAUAGAACUUUUGGGGACUCUGAUAAUGGCAUGUAGAAACUACGCACAUUGGAGUUCCUGUCGUGGCUCAGUGCAAACGAAUCUGAUUAGUAUCCAUGAGGUUGCAGGUUCGAUCCCUGGCUUCGCUCAGUGGGUUAAGGAUCCGGCAUUGCUGUGACUGUGGUGUAGGCUGGCAGCUACAGCUCCUAUUUGACCCUAGCCUGGGAACCUCCAUCUGCCACGGGAGCAGCUCUAAAAAGACAAAAACAAAAACUACCCAGUUUUUUUUUUUUUUUUUAAAGAAAAUACUAAUAACUGAGUAGGGGAAAAAAAGGUAAUAGAGUCAAUAUUUGAAAUUGGCACCAUUUUCUAUUCAUGGUGGGAAAAUGACAGAUUUCACCUUGAAAUUGGUCAGAAGUUGUAUGUGAUGUUUACCGUGAAGAAAGGGCACAAGACGCUUAAGUUAAAAAUGGCUCCUCAGUCACGUUUGAGCCUCCUCAGAGGGACAGGGCGCAGGUGACAGGCCUUGUGCAGCUUUUCAUCGAGUACACAUCUGUGUUCACCGAGAAAUGCAAGCAGCUCGGCUAGGUGACUUCGUAUUUAUAAAGCAAAGAGGAAGGCAAAUGCUGAUUUAUCAACAAUUAUCGUUAUUCUAGAUCAGAUCAUUCCUUUUUUAUUAGUAGCAGCGUUUAUUCUCAAUUGCAAAUGAUGCUAAUAGGUGGGGAUAAUUUGUUUCCUUUUGUUUAAUGGAUGAUCUCAUUUGCUGAAUGAUUUAAGAGUAAAAUUAGCCACCGCGUGGCUCUGUGUAUAGCGAACAGGUUUUCUUUCUCUCCACUGGGGGUGAGCUCUUGCCUGCGGUGGAGGCAGGGUGUGGAGGGAAAGCUGGAGAUGUCUGAUUAGUUACAACAGCACUCUGACCAGAAGGCUGUAGUUGGUUUGAAGGAGACAAGACUAAGUAACCUAAUCCAUCUCAAUUUAGUGUUUUCAUAAAAAAUACACUGAAAAUUAAUUGAAAUGGGUCUCAGACAUGUCUACAAAUAUGGGUACUAUUUUUAUGCCCGUGUAUUUUCACAUUUAAUAAAAAUAUUUAUGGUCAAAUCA